rnacentral:rRNA from 1 species
UACGAAGGGGGCUAGCGUUGCUCGGAAUUACUGGGCGUAAAGGGCGCGUAGGCGGCACUGUUAGUCAGGCGUGAAAGUCCUGGGCUCAACCUGGGAACUGCGCUUGAUACGGCAGAGCUAGAGGAUGGAAGAGGGUCGCGGAAUUCCCAGUGUAGAGGUGAAAUUCGUAGAUAUUGGGAAGAACACCGGUGGCGAAGGCGGCUCACUGGCCCGUAACUGACGCUCAUGCACGACAGCGUGGGGGAUCAAACAGG